CCUACGGGAGGCUGCAGUAGGGAAUAUUGCUCAAUGGGGGAAACCCUGAAGCAGCAACGCCGCGUGGAGGAUGACGGUUUUCGGAUUGUAAACUUCUUUUGUUAGAGAAGAUAAUGACGUUAUCUAACGAACAAUCACCGGCUAACUCCGUUCCAGCAGCCGCGGUAAUACGGAGGGUGCAAGCGUUAUUCGGAAGGACUGGGCGUAAAGAGCGCGUAGGCGGGAUAGCAAGUCAGAUGUGAAAUCCUAGGGCUUAACCAUAGAACUGCAUUUGAAACUGGUAUUCUAGAGUAUGCGAGAGGAAGGUGGAAUUCUUGGUGUAGGGGUAAAAUGCGUAGAGAUGAAGAGGAAUACUGAUUGCGAAGGCGACCUGCUAGAGCAUAACUGACGCUGAUGCGCGAAAGCGUGGGGAGCAAACAGGAUUAGAUACCCGAGUAGUC
rnacentral:rRNA from 1 species